rnacentral:rRNA from 1 species
AUACAUGCAAGUCGAGCGAAUGGAUUGAGAGCUUGCUCUCAAGAAGUUAGCGGCGGACGGGUGAGUAACACGUGGGUAACCUGCCCAUAAGACUGGGAUAACUCCGGGAAACCGGGGCUAAUACCGGAUAACAUUUUGAACUGCAUGGUUCGAAAUUGAAAGGCGGCUUCGGCUGUCACUUAUGGAUGGACCCGCGUCGCAUUAGCUAGUUGGUGAGGUAACGGCUCACCAAGGCAACGAUGCGUAGCCGACCUGAGAGGGUGAUCGGCCACACUGGGACUGAGACACGGCCCAGACUCCUACGGGAGGCAGCAGUAGGGAAUCUUCCGCAAUGGACGAAAGUCUGACGGAGCAACGCCGCGUGAGUGAUGAAGGCUUUCGGGUCGUAAAACUCUGUUGUUAGGGAAGAACAAGUGCUAGUUGAAUAAGCUGGCACCUUGACGGUACCUAACCAGAAAGCCACGGCUAACUACGUGCCAGCAGCCGCGGUAAUACGUAGGUGGCAAGCGUUAUCCGGAAUUAUUGGGCGUAAAGCGCGCGCAGGUGGUUUCUUAAGUCUGAUGUGAAAGCCCACGGCUCACCCGUGGAGGGUCAUUGGGAAACUGGGAGACUUGAGUGCAGAAGAGGGAAAGU